rnacentral:rRNA from 1 species
CCUACGGGGUGCAGCAGUGGGGGAUAUUGCACAAUGGGGGGAACCCUGAUGCAGCGACGCCGCGUGGGUGAAGAAGCGCCUCGGCGCGUAAAGCCCUGUCAGCAGGGAAGAAAAUGACGGUACCUGAAGAAGAAGCCCCGGCCAAAUACGUGCCAGCAGCCGCGGUAAUACGUAGGGGGCAAGCGGUAUCCGGUUUUACUGGGUGGAAAGGGGGCGCAGACGGCGAUGCAAGCCAGGAGCGAAAGCCCGGGGCCCAACCCCGGGACUGCUCUGGGAACUGCGUGGCUGGAGUGCAGGAGGGGCAGGCGGAAUUCCUGGUGUAGCGGUGAAAUGCGUAGAUAUCAGGAGGAACACCGGUGGCGAAGGCGGCCUGCUGGACUGAAACUGACGUUGAGGCCCGAAAGCGUGGGGAGCAAACAGGAUUAGAUACCCCAGUAGUC